rnacentral:rRNA from 1 species
GACGAGCGCUGGCGGCGUGCUUAACACAUGCAAGUCGAGCGGUAAGGCCCUUUCGGGGGUACACGAGCGGCGAACGGGUGAGUAACACGUGGGUGACCUGCCCUCAGCUCUGGGAUAAGCCUGGGAAACUGGGUCUAAUACCGGAUAUGACUCCAUGACGCAUGUUGUGGGGUGGAAAGCCUUGUGCGGCUGAGGAUGGGCCCGCGGCCUAUCAGCUUGNGGUGGGGUGAUGGCCUACCAAGGCGACGACGGGUAGCCGGCCUGAGAGGGCGGCCGGCCACACUGGGACUGAGACACGGCCCAGACUCCUACGGGAGGCAGCAGUGGGGAAUCUUGCGCAAUGGGCGAAAGCCUGACGCAGCGACGCCGCGUGAGGGAUGACGGCCUGGUU